rnacentral:rRNA from 1 species
GAUGAACGCUGGCGGCGUGCCUAAUACAUGCCAGUCGAGCGAACAGACGAGGAGCUUGCUCCUCUGACGUUAGCGGCGGACGGGUGAGUAACACGUGGAUAACCUACCUAUAAGACUGGGAUAACUUCGGGAAACCGGAGCUAAUACCGGAUAAUAUAUUGAACCGCAUGGUUCAAUAGUGAAAGACGGUUUUGCUGUCACUUAUAGAUGGAUCCGCGCCGCAUUAGCUAGUUGGUAAGGUAACGGCUUACCAAGGCGACGAUGCGUAGCCGACCUGAGAGGGUGAUCAGCCACACUGGAACUGAGACACGGUCCAGACUCCUACGGGAGGCAGCAGUAGGGAAUCUUCCGCAAUGGGCGAAAGCCUGACGGAGCAACGCCGCGUGAGUGAUGAAGGUCUUCGGAUCGUAAAACUCUGUUAUUAGGGAAGAACAAAUGUGUAAGUAACUAUGCACGUCUUGACGGUACCUAAUCAGAAAGCCACGGCUAACUACGUG